UACGCGUGGGAACGUACCCUUUUCUACGGAAUAACGCAUGGAAACGUGUGCUAAUACCGUAUAAGCCCUUCGGGGGAAAGAUUAUCGGGAAAGGAUCGGCCCGCGUUGGAUUAGCUAGUUGGUGGGGUAAAGGCCUACCAAGGCGACGAUCCAUAGCUGGUCUGAGAGGAUGAUCAGCCACAUUGGGACUGA
rnacentral:rRNA from 1 species